rnacentral:lncRNA from 1 species
CUCAGCUUGGACAAAGACAGUGAAGGACCCUGUCCUGGUGCUUCGUGUGUGACCAGACCAAGUAGAAAUCAUGUCUGUGACACCAAGUCCUGAGCAUCUCUAUUGCCAAGCAAAGAUAAAAGGUAGAACAUGCCUCUCUCGACUGCUCCCAGGGAAACUCCAUUACCCUUCAAUGGCCACGUGGCAAUGGCAAGCCAAUCUGAAGGGGAAGAGGCAGCCCGCAAGGACGAGCUCAGGAUGA